rnacentral:lncRNA from 1 species
GCGUGCCGCUGUCUGUCCUCCACGCUUAGUGAGGGUGGUCCCUGAGAUCCUGGGCUUGACCAGCUGCACUUUCUCUGAUCCUCAGCACCUCACAUGGGCCUGCUGUAUGUUCAGUGCUCAGUAACUGUUGUUUUUAUAAUUAAUACCUUGCAAAUAAGCAUGUAAGGUGACUACUAGCAUUUUGCAAAUGCGUAUAGUUUAUAGGUUAGAAGCAACUGCCAGUUUUGUCACAUGUGCCAUAGGGCGGAUCCUCACCAAGUU